rnacentral:rRNA from 1 species
GGUUAAGCGACUAAGCGUACACGGUGGAUGCCCUGGCAGUCAGAGGCGAUGAAGGACGUGCUAAUCUGCGAUAAGCGUCGGUGAGGUGAUAUGAACCGUUAUAACCGGCGAUUUCCGAAUGGGGAAACCCAGUGUGUUUCGACACACUAUCAUUAACUGAAUCCAUAGGUUAAUGAGGCGAACCGGGGGAACUGAAACAUCUAAGUACCCCGAGGAAAAGAAAUCAACCGAGAUUCCCCCAGUAGCGGCGAGCGAACGGGGAGGAGCCCAGAGCCUGAAUCAGUGUGUGUGUUAGUGGAAGCGUCUGGAAAGGCGCGCGAUACAGGGUGACAGCCCCGUACACAAAAAUACACAUAUUGUGAGCUCGAUGAGUAGGGCGGGACACGUGGUAUCCUGUCUGAAUAUGGGGGGACCAUCCUCCAAGGCUAAAUACUCCUGACUGACCGAUAGUGAACCAGUACCGUGAGGGAAAGGCGAAAAGAACCCCGGCGAGGGGAGUGAAAAAGAACCUGAAACCGUGUACGUACAAGCAGUGGGAGCCUCUUUAUGGGGUGACUGCGUACCUUUUGUAUAAUGGGUCAGCGACUUAUAUUCUGUAGCAAGGUUAACCGAAUAGGGGAGCCGAAGGGAAACCGAGUCUUAACUGGGCGUUAAGUUGCAGGGUAUAGACCCGAAACCCGGUGAUCUAGCCAUGGGCAGGUUGAAGGUUGGGUAACACUAACUGGAGGACCGAACCGACUAAUGUUGAAAAAUUAGCGGAUGACUUGUGGCUGGGGGUGAAAGGCCAAUCAAACCGGGAGAUAGCUGGUUCUCCCCGAAAGCUAUUUAGGUAGCGCCUCGUGAAUUCAUCUCCGGGGGUAGAGCACUGUUUCGGCAAGGGGGUCAUCCCGACUUACCAACCCGAUGCAAACUGCGAAUACCGGAGAAUGUUAUCACGGGAGACACACGGCGGGUGCUAACGUCCGUCGUGAAGAGGGAAACAACCCAGACCGCCAGCUAAGGUCCCAAAGUCAUGGUUAAGUGGGAAACGAUGUGGGAAGGCCCAGACAGCCAGGAUGUUGGCUUAGAAGCAGCCAUCAUUUAAAGAAAGCGUAAUAGCUCACUGGUCGAGUCGGCCUGCGCGGAAGAUGUAACGGGGCUAAACCAUGCACCGAAGCUGCGGCAGCGACACUAUGUGUUGUUGGGUAGGGGAGCGUUCUGUAAGCCUGUGAAGGUGGCCUGUGAGGGUUGCUGGAGGUAUCAGAAGUGCGAAUGCUGACAUAAGUAACGAUAAAGCGGGUGAAAAGCCCGCUCGCCGGAAGACCAAGGGUUCCUGUCCAACGUUAAUCGGGGCAGGGUGAGUCGACCCCUAAGGCGAGGCCGAAAGGCGUAGUCGAUGGGAAACAGGUUAAUAUUCCUGUACUUGGUGUUACUGCGAAGGGGGGACGGAGAAGGCUAUGUUGGCCGGGCGACGGUUGUCCCGGUUUAAGCGUGUAGGCUGGUUUUCCAGGCAAAUCCGGAAAACCAAGGCUGAGGCGUGAUGACGAGGCACUACGGUGCUGAAGCGACAAAUGCCCUGCUUCCAGGAAAAGCCUCUAAGCAUCAGGUAACAUCAAAUCGUACCCCAAACCGACACAGGUGGUCAGGUAGAGAAUACCAAGGCGCUUGAGAGAACUCGGGUGAAGGAACUAGGCAAAAUGGUGCCGUAACUUCGGGAGAAGGCACGCUGAUAUGUAGGUGAAGCGACUUGCUCGUGGAGCUGAAAUCAGUCGAAGAUACCAGCUGGCUGCAACUGUUUAUUAAAAACACAGCACUGUGCAAACACGAAAGUGGACGUAUACGGUGUGACGCCUGCCCGGUGCCGGAAGGUUAAUUGAUGGGGUUAGCGGUAACGCGAAGCUCUUGAUCGAAGCCCCGGUAAACGGCGGCCGUAACUAUAACGGUCCUAAGGUAGCGAAAUUCCUUGUCGGGUAAGUUCCGACCUGCACGAAUGGCGUAAUGAUGGCCAGGCUGUCUCCACCCGAGACUCAGUGAAAUUGAACUCGCUGUGAAGAUGCAGUGUACCCGCGGCAAGACGGAAAGACCCCGUGAACCUUUACUAUAGCUUGACACUGAACAUUGAGCCUUGAUGUGUAGGAUAGGUGGGAGGCUUUGAAGUGUGGACGCCAGUCUGCAUGGAGCCGACCUUGAAAUACCACCCUUUAAUGUUUGAUGUUCUAACGUUGGCCCGUAAUCCGGGUUGCGGACAGUGUCUGGUGGGUAGUUUGACUGGGGCGGUCUCCUCCUAAAGAGUAACGGAGGAGCACGAAGGUUGGCUAAUCCUGGUCGGACAUCAGGAGGUUAGUGCAAUGGCAUAAGCCAGCUUGACUGCGAGCGUGACGGCGCGAGCAGGUGCGAAAGCAGGUCAUAGUGAUCCGGUGGUUCUGAAUGGAAGGGCCAUCGCUCAACGGAUAAAAGGUACUCCGGGGAUAACAGGCUGAUACCGCCCAAGAGUUCAUAUCGACGGCGGUGUUUGGCACCUCGAUGUCGGCUCAUCACAUCCUGGGGCUGAAGUAGGUCCCAAGGGUAUGGCUGUUCGCCAUUUAAAGUGGUACGCGAGCUGGGUUUAGAACGUCGUGAGACAGUUCGGUCCCUAUCUGCCGUGGGCGCUGGAGAACUGAGGGGGGCUGCUCCUAGUACGAGAGGACCGGAGUGGACGCAUCACUGGUGUUCGGGUUGUCAUGCCAAUGGCACUGCCCGGUAGCUAAAUGCGGAAGAGAUAAGUGCUGAAAGCAUCUAAGCACGAAACUUGCCCCGAGAUGAGUUCUCCCUGAGACUUAGAGUCUCCUGAAGGAACGUUGAAGACGACGACGUUGAUAGGCCGGGUGUGUAAGCGCAGCGAUGCGUUGAGCUAACCGGUACUAAUGAACCGUGAGGCUUAACCUU